rnacentral:lncRNA from 1 species
CCUUUUAUAUUCCACUGAUAGGGCUAACAGACAAUUAAUUUUUAAUUAUACCAAACGAAAAUAGAUAUCGAAAUUCUAAAGAAAUAAAAUUCUAAAUAAAUAACAGAGAGUUUCUUAUUCGAAACGUCCGUGAUCUUCAACCAAUUCUGCGCUUGAAUAUAAUUACCAGGAGUAAGCGCAAUAGCUUGUUUCCAAUACUCGGCAGCUUGAUUGAACCAAGCCUCCGCAAUUUCAGAAUCUCCCUGUCGAACGGCCUGUUCCCCCCGGUCGGAAUAGGUUUCAAUUCCUUUCCUUAGAACCGUACUUGAGAGUUUCCCGCCUCAUACGGCUCGGCAAUCAAUUCUUUUGGUGUCCCGGGUUUUUGAAUCUAGUAUAUCGAAUUGAAUGAGAUUUCUCAUAGAUCGAUCUUUAUCUUUAUUCUUUUUUUUUGGGGGGUUAACCAAAAGAGAGUUUCAAACUUGACUUUUGAUUAAAUUAAUAAUCAGCUUUGCUUUCAUUUUAUCUUUUCUCCCACCGUCAGAAGAAUAACAUAGAAGCAUUUCCACUAUAGUUAGAAUUUCUGAAAGGUAUCUAUCUCGGUUUCAUAUAAAAAUUGAUAUAGAAUCUUUGAAAAAGCCCUUUCUUCCUAAGAAAGAAAAGGCUUACUGUCUUUGGGAUCUGAUGCUACACCGCUGCUCAAUACCUUAGGGGAUCGACUUUAUUACAUAAGUGGAUUCCUUACUUUUAUCUCAUAUCAUGACAUAAAUAAGCAGUUCUUAUUGGAUCGGCAUCGGCCCAAAACCUCGCGAAUUGAUCUUUACGGUGCUUCCUCUAUCAAUUAGAUCCUUUAUCCAUAGAAUAAACUAUCUAGGCAUAUCGAUUUCUUCAUAUUUCGACUUCUAUGAAGUUUCUUUCUUUGCUACAGCUGAUAAAAAUCGUUUUUGCACGAUGCAUAUGUAGAAAGCCUAUUUUUUUUUUUUCGAGUAUUUAUUAGUGUAUUUGCUCUUUACCCCCCUCCUUUUUUUUUUUCUUUUACUUUUUUCUUUCUAUAGUAGAGAUAGUCGCACGUAAUGACAGAUCACAGCCAUAUUAUUAAAAGCUUGUGGUAAGAACGGAUUUCGUUCUAGUGCCCGAAAAUAAUAUUCUAAAGCUUUUGUAUGUUCUCCGUUACUUGUGUGGAUAAGGCCUAUGUUAUAGAGUAUAUAGCUUCGAUCGUAAGGAUCAAUUUCUAGUCGCAUAGCUUCAUAAUAAUUCUGUAAAGCUUCCGCAUAAUUGCCUUCAGAUUGAGCUGACAUCCGUUACGGUCGUCAUUCGAUUCAAAGAAUUCUCCGUUUCAAAACCGUACAUGAGAUGAAAAUCUCAUACGGCUCCUCCUUUAUGUGCAUUAUGAGAAUAAUCCAUGAAAUCAAAAAAGAUUGAAAUAUUCUCAUUAUGAACUAAGUGGGGCUAAUGUUUUUACAAGAAAUCUCUAGCCAACCUUCCUGCAAAAGCUUUUUUCUUAAUAUCACGCGUGUUGGUACUAGAUAAAACCGGAAACUCCAACAAUUUCUUUGUUCUCAACGCCCCUUAAUUUACAGGAAUUAAUCACUUCAACAGUCUUCGAUGGUUAUACGGGUAUCCACAGUACGAACGAGAUGGAUGUUUGUUAUCCCAACCAUUCUUCUUAGUCCCGAUCCCGCUAAGGAAAGGGGGCAGCUUAUAACAAAGUUUUCGUGUUGCUGAUUCCUAGACGUAGCGCCUCUUCCCCUAUGCCGCCUAUUGGUACUGGUGUAGUAGGGUUGACUUGCAAUACAGAACCCAUAGGUGUAACCUUUCGCUCAAUACUAGAAUCGACAAUUGAAGCAUCUGAGGCUGCAUUAAUCGGGAUACACGACAGAAGGAAUGGUUUUAUCUAUAAACUUCACCUUCAACAAGCGUAGAUUUUUUCAAUAAUCUUUUUUUUUUUUUUUCUAUCCCGAAUUGUCUUUCUUUCUUCUAAGACCGAAAGGGGUAAAUAAAAAACUAAUCAAAUCGCACCAUCUCUGUAAUAGGUAAAUGCCUCUUUUUCUCCUACAGUUGUCGGAAUUAUUCGUAAUAAUAUAUUGGCUACAAUCGAAAAGGUCUUAUCAAUAAAAUUUCCGUUUAUCCGCGAUCUAGGCAUAGGUAAAAAUCCAUUCUAUAAUUCGUUUCAUUACCUCUUGUGAGAAAAUGAUCCCACAAACAAAGGAAUUGUACAGUACAAAAAUAACAUAAAAGCAGACGUGUUAAAAAAAAAUAAAAAAAAAAAUAGACCGAUCCGUUGAUUCGUUCCAACUCAUUGAUUAAAUCAGGUAGAAAUAUCAGAAAAAAAAAAAAAAAGGAGCGCCAUCUUUGCAAACAAGAUAUAUAGCCUUAUUGUUUUUUGUUUUGAACAGUUUUUCACAAACAAAAAAGUUAUCCUUUUCCCCAGACUCAAAGGAAGAAUUUUUUCUUUGCUGAAAGGGUUUCUAUUUUUCUAGUUAGAACGGAUUCGAUUGUCCGUACCCAUCUACCAAUCGAAUUUGAACAACUCGCUAUUCACGCGGGUUCUCGGUCAUAAUCAUUGUGUAGGAGAGAUGGCCGAGUGGUUCAAGGCGUAGCAUUGGAACUGCUAUGUAGACUUUUGUUUACCGGGGGUUCGAAUCCCUCUCUUUCCGUACCUUGAACUAAUUCAUCAAUGUUACUGACCGGAAUGUAUCCAAGCAAAAAAGAAUGAAUACCGAAGCAGUCAGACCUUUUUUUGAGCUAGAUUCUCAAUUCCUACGGGAAAGAAAGGGAAGGGGCAGGCAGGGGAUAAAAAUCUACCCUCGGAUCUAUGAUACAUGAAUGGGAUAAAAAAAAACUCCACGGAUCAAACUCCUUACCUUGUAUCCCUUCCUUAAGUUAGGUGAAAGGGUAAAUUUGUACGAGCCCGUUAUUUUAGUUAGGUUUAAGUUUGACGAGAAUAAUAUUCUACGACAAGCAAUUCAUUUAUUUUCAAACCGACCCAUUGACUAUCUAUUAUUUGAUUGACUAAUCCUUUAUAUUGGAAUGCGCGAAGAGUCAAAUGCUUUGGCAAUUCCUCAUGGUGGGAUGAAUCAAGAUAAUUUUGAACCAGAGAUCUAGAUUUUGGGUCAUCCCUUACUGUAAUAAUAUCUCGGGGUUUGCAACGAUAACUUGGUAUAUCGACUAUACGACCAUUAACUAAAAUAUGUCGAUGGUUAACCAAUUGGCGGGCUUGAGGAAUAGUUGAAGCCAUACCCAAUCGAAAAAGAAUGUUAUCCAAACGCAUUUCAAGUAAUUGUAGUAAAACCAGACCGGUUGACCCUUUGGCUUUUCUGGCGAUACGAACAUAUUUAAGUAAUUGUCGUUCUGUAAGACCAUAAUGAAAACGCAAUUUUUGUUUUUCUUCUAAACGAAUUCGAUAUUGAGAUUUUUUUACGGAGCGCAAUUGGUUUCUAAAAUCGCUUCCGGCUCUAGGCCUUUUACUCGUUAGUCCCGGCAAAGCCCCCAGACGGCGUAUUUUUUUGAAACGAGGCCCUCGGUAACGUGACAUAAAGACUCCUUAUUUUAUUGAAUUUCAUAAACCUAAAUUAAAACUGAGCUACAUGAUAAAUGAAGCAAAAUCCGCUGAAGUAUUGUACUACAAAGAAUACUAAGAUGAUUUGUAUCAAAUUCCAGACCCCUUUUUGUAUUGUAUACGCAUAUAGAAAUAUAAAUCAAAAGAGGGUUCCUUUUCUUGAUUUAUUCUGCCGAAAUCGAACUUCCUCCAACUUUUAUUCAUAAUUGGAAGCUCCUACAACAUACUGGAUCGAUGAUCCUUGGAAGAAGCCUUUUCAAUGUUCUUUUCUUUCAAAAAGACAUUAUCAAUCAUGUAAAAAAUCAAACAAAUAGAGAAAAGCCGGCUAUCGGAAUCGAACCGAUGACCAUCGCAUUACAAAUGCGAUGCUCUAACCUCUGAGCUAAGCGGGCUUAAUAAGAGAAAUUGUACAUGCGUAGGGAUCCUAGGAUCUUAUCUAUUAACCUUUUAUUCUUAGCUAUUCAUAAAGAAUAAAAUAGAGAAUCGAAUUUCAAAUAAAUGUUGAAUACUAUAGAUAUAGAACAUAACGAUUAAUCUAACAAUUACGAGAAUCUAGUGAUGAUAUAUAUUAGCGAAUUUGGAUUUUUUUAUCAAUUCUAUAUUGAUCAACAAUAAAUAUCUUACUCUUAAUUAGAUAAUAAAAUACGAUUUGAUUUAUUUAUUUUUUUUUUUUUCAUUUUUGAAUUCAAGACAUUUAAAAUUAUUUUUUUGUUUCUAACCUAAGAUUCUUAUAUUCUAUUCGAUUAUUCUAUAUUAUAGAAUAUACAUAAUAUUCGAUUAUUAUUCUAUAUUCUAUAUAUAUUUAGUUAUUCUAAAUCGAAUAUUAUAUUCGAUUCUUAUUAUCCAUUUUCGAAAUUCUAAAUUUGCUCUAUUCUAAUUCGAAAUAAUUAGGCUUUAGACUAAAUAAUUAGAAUUAUCUUCGAAUUCUAAUUUAAUUGACUGAGUAGUUAUAGCUAUUCUAUUGAUUAGGUCUAGCUAUUAUAUUCUAAAUGAUUAAUAAAAAUGAUUUAUUUUUAUUUAAUAAAUUGAAAUUGGAAUUUGAGUUUUUUUGGUUAUGUUAUAUAGGUUCUUCCUUAAGGAAAGGGCAAGUAUAAAUAGAAAAUGAAAUGAAAGAGAAAGAUACAAUCCCGCUAAAUGGAAUCUGGAUUAGAAUGAGACAUUUUUGUUUUCAUUCGAAAAGGGGCGUAAGAAAAAACGAAAAAAUAAAUCGACCGUUCGAGUAUUCCGCCGGAUUGCACGAAAAAAAUGAGAGUAAGGGGGCAUAUAUAUUUUAUGGUAGUUUAUAUCCAUCUAUAUUGAAUUGCGGAUACAGAAAAGAUAGAAUCAUUUCUGACAAGAAAGCAAAACACCUUUCGAUAUAUAUAAAUCCAUAUCUACGGAAUUCUACUGUUUCCGCAGAAAUGAAAGAAAGGGGGAACAGCAUUGAGUUCCUAAAACACAAAGGGGAUAUGGCGAAAUUGGUAGACGCUACGGACUUAAUUGGAUUGAGCCUUAGUAUGGAAACUUACUAAGUGAUAACUUUCAAAUUCAGAGAAACCCAGGAAUUAAAAAUGGGUAAUCCUGAGCCAAAUCCUCUUCUCUUUUCCAAGAACAAACAGGGGUUCAGAAAGCGAAAAAGGGGAUAGGUGCAGAGACUCAAUGGAAGCUGUUCUAACAAAUGGAGUUGACUGCCCUUUUUGGUAAAGAAAAAAGAAAGUCAAAUGAAUGCUUCUAUCGAAUAUCGAAACUCGAUAAAGGAUGAAGGAUAAGGGUAUAUAGACUAUGUAUACGCAGCGAAAAACUAACUCAAAAAUCACAACCAAAUACGUAUUUCUUUUUAUGAAAAAGAAAAGAAUUGUUAUUGUUAUGAAUCGAUUCUAAGUUGAAGAAAAAUCGAAUAUUCCGGCUCAAAUCAUUCACUCCACCUCCAUGGUCUGAUCGAUCCUUUCUUUUGACUUUUGAAGAACUGAUUAAUCGGACGAGAAUAAAGAUAGAGUCCCAUUCUACAUGUCAAUAUCAAUACGGGCAACAAUGAAAUUUAGAGUAAAAGGAAAAUCCGUCGACUUUAGAAAUCGUGAGGGUUCAAGUCCCUCUAUCCCCACCCCAAAAAAGGCCUAUUGACUCCCUAACCAUUUCUCCUACCUUCUCCUUUUUUUGUUAGUGGUUCAAAAGUCGGUAGGUUUCUCAUCUAUCCUACUCUUUUCCAUUUCCAAAAGGAUAUGGGCAGAAUUUUUUUCUCUUAUCACAAGCCGUAUGGUCUAUACGAUAUAUGUAGAAAUGAACACCUUUGAGCAAGGAAUCCCCGUUUUAAUGAUUCCCAAUCCAUAUUAUUGCUCAUACUGAAACUUACAAAGUCUUCUUUUGAUGAUUCAAGAAAUGAAAUUCCCCUCCCAAGACUUUUAAUCCCUGUUUAUUUUUAAUUGACAUAGACCCAAGUCAUCUAGUAAGAUGAGAACGGUGUGUCGGAAAUGGUCGGGAUAGCUCAGCUGGUAGAGCAGAGGACUGAAAAUCCUCGUGUCACCAGUUCAAAUCUGGUUCCUGGCAUAUGAUUAAUAUCUAUGAGUAUCUAUCACUACAAAUUCAGUGAUAUGGCUCGCCAUACAUAUUCAUUUAUAGAUCAUGAUACAUACAUACUUAUCCAUCUAGCUCGAUGUCUGGGAAUAGGCCUUUUUUCUUUUAUUUUUUUUUAUUUUAUUUCCUUCCCCUCUCUGUGACCCGCUAGAGCCCGUCGAAGUGGUGUGCGCGAUACAAAGUUCAUGAUACAGAACUCUUUAAUUUCUUUAUCCCAUUCACAAUAAUAAUACGAAUGAGACUUCAAUUCCUCCGUUUGAUCUAGAGAAAGAACGUACAAAUAUUUCUUGAAUAUUGGGUCAAAAUGAAGAUUAAUUUCUUAGAAUUCAAUAAGCAUCUUGUAUUUCAUAAAAAUUGGGGCAAUAUAAUCCUUACGUAAGGGCCACCCUAUCCAACUUUCAGGCAUUAAGAUACGUUUCAGUCGUGGAUGAUUAUCAUAAAGGAUUCCCAGCAUAUCAUAAGAUUCCCGUUCUUGAAAAUUCGCACUUUUCCAAACCCAGAAAACCGAUGGAAUUUUAGGAUUACUCCUUGGAGCAAAUACUUUUAUGCAUACCUCUUCUGGUUGAUCUACACCAUACUCUAUUCGCGUAAGAUGAUACACACUGGCUAACAGUCCGCCCGGUGCUACAUCAUAGGCACAUUGGGACCGUAGAUAAUUGUAGCCAUAUAUAUACAAAAUGACAGCAACGGAGUGCCAAUCCUCGGGCUUUAUUUGUAAAGUUUCUAUUCCUUGGUAAUCAAAGCCCAAAGAUCUAUGAACUAGCCCAUGCUUGACCAGCCAAGCAGACAAACGACCCUGCAUCUUUUUUAUCUCUCCCACAUUUUGAUUUCGAUAAAUAUUUCACAUUUACGAUGAAUUUUUGGAAUUUAUGAAGAUUAAUUCGCUCUUUCUAUUCUGUACAAAUGAAUCCUCCUGCCUAAUUAAUGAAUUCGGGGAAGAUACUGAACUUUUGUAUUUGAAAAAGGUUUCAGGGCGGAUUUCUGACGUAGAUGGUGGUUGAUAAAGUAAUCCUUGAUCAUAAUUUCCAGUAUUAGUACUGCAUACAACACGAAACUGUGUGAUUGGUAGUAAAAGUAAACGAGCGAUUCUCCCGUUGCAAUCGAAUUCGAUCUUCAUAGAUUUCUCGAGAUAUUUUCUUACGAAGUUUUGUUAUGGCAUCUAUAACGGCCUCUGGUUUAGGCGGGCAACCCGGCAAAUAAACAUCCACGGGAAUUAGCUUAUCAACUCCUCGAACAGUACUAUACGAAUCGGUACUGAACAUCCCCCUGUAAUUGUACAUGCUCCCAUAGCAAUAACAUAUUUUGGUUCAGGCAUUUGUUCAUAUAAUCUCACAAGAAGGAGCCAUUUUCAUUGUUACUGUACCAGCUGUUAAAAUUAGGUCCGCCUGUCUAGGGCUCGAUCUUGGUACCAGCCCAUAACGGUCAAAAUCGAACCGCGAGCCGAUUAAUGAAGCAAAUUCAAUGAAACAACAACUGGUACCAUAAAGAAGCGGCCAUAAGCUGGAGAGUCUUGACCAAUUUGAAAGAUCGUUUGAUGUAGUUGAAAUAAAUGAAUUUGGGGUUGUUCGAUCAAGUAAGGAAAAUUCAAUAGAAUUCAUAAUUCUCUCAAUGUUAUUUUUGUUUUUUUUUUUUUUUUUACUUUUUUGUUAUUGUCUGAAUAUUCAGAAACUAAGACCACUCUAAUGCUCCUUUUCGCCACGCAUAAACUAAACCAACAAUUAGGAUAAGCAUGAAAAUGAAAGCUUCUAUAAAUACGGGUACCCCCAAUACAUCAAAACUCAUUGCCCAUGGAUAAAGAAAAACGGUUUCAACAUCAAAAACAACAAAAACUAGAGCAAACAUAUAAUACCGGAUUCGAAAUUGUAACCAAGCAUCGCCCAUUGGUUCGAUACCCGAUUCAUAACUAGAAAGUUUCUCUGGCCCUUUGUUAAUCGGGGCUAAAACUGCGGAAAUUAGAAAUGCCAAAAUAGGAAUAACGCUUGAUAUUAUUAGAAAUGCCCAGAAAAUAUCAUAUUUGUAAAGCAGAAACAUAGCCAAACUCCUAUGAAUGUGGAAAAUAGACCAAAUUUGUCGAUGCAAAUUGGAAUUCAUUGUCAAGUCAUCGAUAAUUGGUUAAUCAAAACAACAAUUCAUUUUGAUCGAACCGCAAAGUUUCGUUUGUUUGUUGUGAUGUCUCGUUUUAAGAUUUAUCGAUUGGAAUCCUAUUUUCAUUACACUUCCUUCGAUUUUAUUUCAAUAUAGUAUAAAUCUCUUAUACAAACAAAACAAACAAAACCCUUUUGCGUUCACCGCGCUUCGGACUUGUCUAAAUCAAAGGAAGUCAAAAGAAAAUUCGAAUUUUUGUUUCGAAUUUCGAAUUCGAAUCUUCGAAAUUCAAUCGAUUUUGAUUCUAUUCUCAAUAUAUAGAAUAUUUUCUGUUUCUGAAUUAUGUUUAUGAAAAGCUAUUCGUUUUUCAAACGCUGAGGUGUCAACAAAUACCGUAAUCCGUUCCUAUAUCCAUGCGACUUACUAUUCCAUUUGAGUUGGGUUACGUCGGCGUCUCCCCGGAUUCGUGUCAUGAUUUUGACUCCGCAAAUUCACCAAAAGUAGGUGAGUAUACCAAAGAAAGGAAGUAUCAAUAACUCUUUGAUUGUGAUGGGAACAGGAAAAGAGGCAAAUCCAUAUGGAAUUCCCAUACGAAGAUUAUUAUUAUUAAUUAUUGAAGAAAGAAAAAUGGGUUUGUUUAGCCGAAUCCGAGAUUCUAAAAAAAAAAAUAGCGAUUAAAUCCAUUGAAAUGCGCUUUAGUUUUCAUUUCAGUUUGAUGUUCUGCUCGGAACGAGCUCCCUCCGAGCGAGCUUUUGGAAUGAUUUGAUUUCGAUGAACCACAAGCAACCCCCAGCGACCAGUUACAAACAACAAAAAUACAAUGAAUGAGGAAAUGAAAACUAUACAAUUUUUGUGUUUCUGUAUUUCCAUUUUGAUUAUUAUUAUUUGAGAUUAGUAUAGGCUAUACGGACUCGAACCGUAGACCUUCUCGGUAAAACAGAUCGAACUAAUUCUUAUCAAAAUGAUUCGAACUCUUUCAAAGACCCAACAUGCAUUUUUUUUUUUUGCAUUGGGCUCUUUCAUUAACUGAUAGAAAUAUCAGUUAGUCUACCAUAUUUUUUUCUUGACAGACAACUAAGGAAAUGGCUCCAUGUGCUCUAAUUCAUUAUUUGGAUUCGGAUAUAGGAGCACUCCCAAAGUGUUUCAAAGAAGGGUUAUCUUGACGUAGGUCUGCUUAUGGCCUAGAUCAACCUAAACGAAAUGGAGUCUCUAUCAUCCUGAUUAAAGAAUCACAUAUGAAACUUCAUACGCCUUAAGGUUCAUAGAACGAAAAGAGAAUUUUUGAGGUCCUUAUACUCAUUAUGCCUAGCAUUGAAUAGACUAGGUAUUUACCUUAUCAAUCUCUCAAAUCGAUGAUGGAUUCUAUUUGGUUCCUAAAAGGGCACCCGAAUCGGACCGAUCCAUUUGUCAGGCUAUUGUUCUCUUGUUUUGUUCCCUACAAGCCACGGAGUCAGACAUUAAUUUCUCAAAAAGAUCAAUUCUUUUGAUUGCAUGAUGGACUCCUCUGAAAAACAUUGGCGCACGUGUAAACGAGGUGCUCUACCUAACUGAGCUAUAGCCCUUGUCCUUGUGAUACAUAUUUUAUCAUAUUAUGUAGAUAAUUUCUUGUCAAGAUGAAUAUUCCAUGAUCCCACACCAUAUCUCUUUGAUCUUUUGGAUUGGUAUUGCUUAGAAGUCCUAUUAGAUUUAUACUCCAUCGAUGGGAUGUGAUGGGUCUCUUUUUGUUUUUUGUUAUAAUGAUAAAUGACCUACUUAACUCAGUGGUUAGAGUAUUGCUUUCAUACGGCGGGAGUCAUUGGUUCAAAUCCAAUAGUAGGUAGAAAUUAUUAGAUACCACGGCCAAUGGUAUCUAAUAAGUUUUUCUACUCACCUUUGUUUAUUGAUUUUGUAUCUUUUCUAUCCGAUUCAAUUUGAUUUUCGAAUUGAAACCUUUUUCCUUCCGUCAGAAUCCAAUUCCACUUGAUUGAAUUUAAUUGGAUUCAAUUGGCAGAAUCAAAAUAGGGGUAUAAACAGAAAUUCGUUGGAUUAUUCUAUUCGGGCGCACCAACUAGUUAUGAAAUCGCAUUGAUAACCUCUACUCGUGUCCUAGCUCGUCUGAGAGCUAGAUUUGCCUCAAUUGUUUGUCUCUUGCUUUCAGCUUUCCUCAAAUUAGCUUCUGCUAUUUCAAGAGUUUGCUGGGCUUCUUGGGGAUCAAUGUCACUACUCUUCUCCGCAUCAUUUACUAAAAUAGUGAUCUCAUUAUUCCCUAUUCUAGCAAAACCACCCAUCAGAGCCAUCGUUAACCAUUGGUCGUUAAAGCGGAUUCUUAAAAUACCUAUAUCUACAGCUGUGGCAAUAGGCGCGUGAUUUGGUAAUACGCCGAUUUGUCCACUAUUAGUAGAUAAAAUGAUUUCUUUCACUUCUGAAUCCCAAACAAUUCGAUUAGGGGUCAGUACACAAAGAUUUAAGGUCAUUUUCUUCAAAUUACUCUCCAUUUCUAAGUUUGUAGCCUUCGCAGUAACUUCAUCUAUGUUACCUACCAAAUAAAAGGCCUGCUCAGGAAGACCAUCUAAUUCUCCGGACAGGAUCAAUUUAAACCCUCUAAUAGUUUCGGCUAGACCAACAUAUUUCCCCGGGGAACCGGUAAAUACUUCGGCUACGAAAAAGGGUUGUGAUAAGAAACGCUCAAUUUUUCGCGCCCUUGCUACAGUUAAACGAUCCUCUUCGGACAGUUCGUCCAACCCAAGGAUAGCUAUAAUGUCCUGAAGUUCUUUGUAACGUUGUAAAGUUUGCUUAACUCUUUGCGCCGUUUCAUAAUGUUCCUCGCCAACGAUCCGAGGUUGCAGCAUAGUUGACGUUGAGUCUAAAGGAUCAACUGCUGGAUAGAUACCUUAGCAGCUAAUCCUCUUGAUAGUACGGUAGUAGCAUCUAAAUGGGCAAAUGUCGUGGCAGGAGCGGGAUCAGUCAAAUCAUCCGCGGGUACAUAAACUGCUUGAAUAGAAGUUAUGGACCCCUCUUUGGUAGAAGUAAUUCUUUCUUGUAAAGAACCCAUUUCGGUACUAAGGGUAGGUUGAUAACCCCACAGCGGAGGCAUUCUACCCAAUAAGGCGGAUACCUCGGAUCCCGCUUGGACGAACGGAAGAUAUUGUCGAUAAAUAGAAGUACGUCUUGUUCAUUAACAUCUCGGAAAUAUUCCGCCAUAGUUAGGGCCGUCAAACCAACUCUCAUACGAGCUCCUGGUGGUUCAUUCAUCUGACCGUAGACUAGAGCCACUUUUGAUUCCGAAAGAUUUUGGUCAUUAAUUACUCCAGACUCUUUCAUUUCCAUGUAAAGAUCAUUUCCUUCACGAGUACGUUCACCGACUCCGCCAAAUACGGAUACACCCCCAUGGGCUUUGGCAAUGUUGUUGAUCAAUUCCAUAAUGAGUACUGUUUUACCCACCCCAGCUCCCCCCAAAUAGUCCGAUUUUUCCUCCCCGACGAUAAUAAGAGCUAAAAGAUCUACUACUUUAAUUCCUGUUUCAAAAAAUAGAUAAUCUUGUAUCUAACUGUAUAAAAGCAGGCGCGGAUUUAUGAAUAGGGGAUGUUGUGCGAGUAUCUACAGGACCUAAAUUAUCAACGGGCUCUCCAAGCACGUUGAAAAAUUCGUCCUAGAGUCACUCCGCCCGACUGGAACACUUAGAGGAGCUCCCGUGUCAAUUACUUCCAUACCCCUCGUUAGACCAUCUGUAGCACUCAUGGCUACAGCUCUAACUCGAUUAUUCCCUAAUAAUUGCUGUACCUCGCAAGUCACAUUAAUUGUUGAUCGACAGUAUCUCGACCCUUAACUACCAGAGCAUUGUAAAUAUUAGGCAUCUUGCCGGGGGGAAAGGCUACAUCCAGUACCGGACCAAUGAUUUGAGCGAUAUGUCCUAGGUUUUGUUUUGCAAACGCGGAACCCCAGGACCGGAAGUAGUAGGAUUUAUUCUCAUAAAUAAUAAAGUGAAAGAUGUCAAUUUUUUUUUUUUUUUCGAACUUGAUCGCAUCCAAAAAAAUCUUCGAUAGCACGUGGAUCGGUUAAUUCAAUAAGAAAUGGGAGUUCGCGCUCGAUUUCGUUGGUACCGUCCAACCGAAUGCAAUUCAAUAGUUUCCUUAUGCUUAUGCAUUUAUGCAAUUUCAAUGAGGGAAUUUUCAAGUUCAACCAACCGACUUUCAAAAUAUCAAGUGUGGUGAAUAAAAAUCUUGAGAAAGUCGUUCAUUAUAUCUAUCAUUAUAGACAAUACCCGCCAUAUUAUCUAUGGAGUUCGAACCUGAACUCUCUUUUUCGAUUCAUUANNNNNUUAAUUAAUUAANNNNNUUCUAGUGCCCGAAAAUAAUAUUCUAAAGCUUUUGUAUGUUCUCCGUUACUUGUGUGGAUAAGGCCUAUGUUAUAGAGUAUAUAGCUUCGAUCGUAAGGAUCAAUUUCUAGUCGCAUAGCUUCAUAAUAAUUCUGUAAAGCUUCCGCAUAAUUGCCUUCAGAUUGAGCUGACAUCCGUUACGGUCGUCAUUCGAUUCAAAGAAUUCUCCGUUUCAAAACCGUACAUGAGAUGAAAAUCUCAUACGGCUCCUCCUUUAUGUGCAUUAUGAGAAUAAUCCAUGAAAUCAAAAAAGAUUGAAAUAUUCUCAUUAUGAACUAAGUGGGGCUAAUGUUUUUACAAGAAAUCUCUAGCCAACCUUCCUGCAAAAGCUUUUUUCUUAAUAUCACGCGUGUUGGUACUAGAUAAAACCGGAAACUCCAACAAUUUCUUUGUUCUCAACGCCCCUUAAUUUACAGGAAUUAAUCACUUCAACAGUCUUCGAUGGUUAUACGGGUAUCCACAGUACGAACGAGAUGGAUGUUUGUUAUCCCAACCAUUCUUCUUAGUCCGAUCCCGCUAAGGAAAGGGGGCAGCUUAUAACAAAGUUUUCGUGUUGCUGAUUCCUAGACGUAGCGCCUCUUCCCCUAUGCCGCCUAUUGGUACUGGUGUAGUAGGGUUGACUUGCAAUACAGAACCCAUAGGUGUAACCUUUCGCUCAAUACUAGAAUCGACAAUUGAAGCAUCUGAGGCUGCAUUAAUCGGGGAUACACGACAGAAGGAAUGGUUUUAUCUAUAAACUUCACCUUCAACAAGCGUAGAUUUUUUCAAUAAUCUUUUUUUUUUUUUUUUUCUAUCCCGAAUUGUCUUUCUUUCUUCUAAGACCGAAAGGGGUAAAUAAAAAACUAAUCAAAUCGCACCAUCUCUGUAAUAGGUAAAUGCCUCUUUUUCUCCUACAGUUGUCGGAAUUAUUCGUAAUAAUAUAUUGGCUACAAUCGAAAAGGUCUUAUCAAUAAAAUUUCCGUUUAUCCGCGAUCUAGGCAUAGGUAAAAAUCCAUUCUAUAAUUCGUUUCAUUACCUCUUGUGAGAAAAUGAUCCCACAAACAAAGGAAUUGUACAGUACAAAAUAACAUAAAAGCAGACGUGUUAAAAAAAAUAAAAAAAAAAAAUAGACCGAUCCGUUGAUUCGUUCCAACUCAUUGAUUAAAUCAGGUAGAAAUAUCAGAAAAAAAAAAAAAAAGGAGCGCCAUCUUUGCAAACAAGAUAUAUAGCCUUAUUGUUUUUGUUUUGAACAGUUUUUCACAAACAAAAAAGUUAUCCUUUUCCCCAGACUCAAAGGAAGAAUUUUUUCUUUGCUGAAAGGGUUUCUAUUUUUCUAGUUAGAACGGAUUCGAUUGUCCGUACCCAUCUACCAAUCGAAUUUGAACAACUCGCUAUUCACGCGGGUUCUCGGUCAUAAUCAUUGUGUAGGAGAGAUGGCCGAGUGGUUCAAGGCGUAGCAUUGGAACUGCUAUGUAGACUUUUGUUUACCGGGGGUUCGAAUCCCUCUCUUUCCGUACCUUGAACUAAUUCAUCAAUGUUACUGACCGGAAUGUAUCCAAGCAAAAAAGAAUGAAUACCGAAGCAGUCAGACCUUUUUUUGAGCUAGAUCUCAAUUUCCUAACGGAAAGAAAGGGAAGGGGCAGGCAGGGGAUAAAAAUCUACCCUCGGAUCUAUGAUACAUGAAUGGGAUAAAAAAAAACUCCACGGAUCAAACUCCUUACCUUGUAUCCCUUUCCUUAAGUUAGGUGAAAGGGUAAAUUUGUACGAGCCCGUUAUUUUAGUUAGGUUUAAGUUUGACGAAGAAUAAAUUCUACGACAAGCAAUUCAUUUAUUUUCAAACCGACCCAUUGACUAUCUAUUAUUUGAUUGACUAAUCCUUUAUAUUGGAAUGCGCGAAGAGUCAAAUGCUUUGGCAAUUCCUCAUGGUGGGAUGAAUCAAGAUAAUUUUGAACCAGAGAUCUAGAUUUUGGGUCAUCCCUUACUGUAAUAAUAUCUCGGGGUUUGCAACGAUAACUUGGUAUAUCGACUAUACGACCAUUAACUAAAAUAUGUCGAUGGUUAACCAAUUGGCGGGCUUGAGGAAUAGUUGAAGCCAUACCCAAUCGAAAAAGAAUGUUAUCCAAACGCAUUUCAAGUAAUUGUAGUAAAACCAGACCGGUUGACCCUUUGGCUUUUCUGGCGAUACGAACAUAUUUAAGUAAUUGUCGUUCUGUAAGACCAUAAUGAAAACGCAAUUUUGUUUUUCUUCUAAACGAAUUCGAUAUUGAGAUUUUUUUACGGAGCGCAAUUGGUUCUAAAAUCGCUUCCGGCUCUAGGCCUUUUACUCGUUAGUCCCGGCAAAGCCCCCAGACGGCGUAUUUUUUGAAACGAGGCCCUCGGUAACGUGACAUAAAGACUCCUUAUUUUAUUGAAUUUCAUAAACCUAAAUUAAAACUGAGCUACAUGAUAAAUGAAGCAAAAAUCCGCUGAAGUAUUGUACUACAAAGAAUACUAAGAUGAUUUGUAUCAAAUUCCAGACCCCUUUUUGUAUUGUAUACGCAUAUAGAAAUAUAAAUCAAAAGAGGGUUCCUUUUCUUGAUUUAUUCUGCCGAAAUCGAACUUCCUCCAACUUUUAUUCAUAAUUGGAAGCUCCUACAACAUACUGGAUCGAUGAUCCUUGGAAGAAGCCUUUUCAAUGUUCUUUUCUUUCAAAAAGACAUUAUCAAUCAUGUAAAAAAUCAAACAAAUAGAGAAAAGCCGGCUAUCGGAAUCGAAACCGAUGACCAUCGCAUUACAAAUGCGAUGCUCUAACCUCUGAGCUAAGCGGGCUUAAAUAAGAGAAAUUGUACAUGCGUAGGGAUCCUAGGAUCUUAUCUAUUAACCUUUUAUUCUUAGCUAUUCAUAAAGAAUAAAAUAGAGAAUCGAAUUUCAAAUAAAUGUUGAAUACUAUAGAUAUAGAACAUAACGAUUAAUCUAACAAUUACGAGAAUCUAGUGAUGAUAUAUAUUAGCGAAUUUGGAUUUUUUUAUCAAUUCUAUAUUGAUCAACAAUAAAUAUCUUACUCUUAAUUAGAUAAUAAAAUACGAUUUGAUUUAUUUAUUAUUUUUUUUUUUUUUUCAUUUUUGAAUUCAAGACAUUUAAAAUUAUUUUUUUGUUUCUAACCUAAGAUUCUUAAUAUAUUCUAUUCGAUUAUUCUAUAUUAUAGAAUAUACAUAAUAUUCGAUUAUUAUUCUAUAUUCUAUAUAUAUUUAGUUAUUCUAAAUCGAAUAUUAUAUUCGAUUCUUAUUAUCCAUUUUCGAAAUUCUAAAUUUGCUCUAUUCUAAUUCGAAAUAAUUAGGCUUUAGACUAAAUAAUUAGAAUUAUCUUCGAAUUCUAAUUUAAUUGACUGAGUAGUUAUAGCUAUCUAUUGAUUAGGUCUAGCUAUUAAUCUAAAGAUAAUAAAAAAUAUUUAUUUUAUUAAUAAAUUGAAAAUUGGAAUUUGAGUUAUUUUGGUUAUGUUAUAUAGGUUCUUCCUUAAGGAAAGGGCAAGUAUAAAUAGAAAAUGAAAUGAAGAGAAAGAUACAAUCCCGCUAAAUGGAAUCUGGAUUAGAAUGAGACAUUUUGUUUUCAUUCGAAAAGGGCGUAAGAAAAAACGAAAAAAUAAAUCGACCGUUCGAGUAUUCCGCCGGAUUGCACGAAAAAAAUGAGAGUAAGGGGGGCAUAUAUAUUUUUAUGGUAGUUAUAUCCAUCUAUAUUGAAUUGCGGAUACAGAAAAAGAUAGAAUCAUUCUGACAAGAAAGCAAAACACCUUUCGAUAAAUAUAUAAAUCCAUAUCUACGGAAUUCUACUGUUUCCGCAGAAAUGAAAGAAAGGGGAACAGCAUUGAGUUCCUAAAAACACAAAGGGGAUAUGGCGAAAUUGGUAGACGCUACGAGACUUAAUUGGAUUGAGCCUUAGUAUGGAAAACUUACUAAGUGAUAACUUUCAAAUUCAGAGAAACCCAGGAAUAAAAAAUGGGUAAUCCUGAGCCAAAUCCUCUUCUCUUUCCAAGAACAAACAGGGGUUCAGAAAGCGAAAAAGGGGAUAGGUGCAGAGACUCAAUGAAAGCUGUUCUAACAAAUGGAGUUGACUGCCCUUUUUGUGUAAAGAAAAAAGAAAGUCAAAUGAAUGCUUCUAUCGAAUAUCGAAACUCGAUAAAGGAUGAAGGAUAAGGGUAUAUAGACUAUGUAUACGCAGCGAAAAACUAACUCAAAAAUCACAACCAAAUACGUAUUUCUUUUUAUGAAAAAGAAAAGAAUUGUUAUUGUUAUGAAUCGAUUCUAAGUUGAAGAAAGAAUCGAAUAUUCCCCGCUCAAAUCAUUCACUCCACCUCCAUGGUCUGAUCGAUCCUUUCUUUUGACUUUGAAGAACUGAUUAAUCGGACGAGAAUAAAGAUAGAGUCCCAUUCUACAUGUCAAUAUCAAUACGGGCAACAAUGAAAUUUAGAGUAAAAGGAAAAUCCGUCGACUUUAGAAAUCGUGAGGGUCAAGUCCCUCUAUCCCCACCCCAAAAAAGGCCUAUUGACUCCCUAACCAUUUCUCCUACCUUCUCCUUUUUUUGUUAGUGGUUCAAAAGUCGGUAGGUUUCUCAUCUAUCCUACUCUUUCCAUUCCAAAAGGAUAUGGGCAGAAUUUUUUUCUCUUAUCACAAGCCGUAUGGUCUAAUACGAUAUAUGUAGAAAUGAACACCUUGAGCAAGGAAUCCCGUUUUAAUGAUUCCCAAUCCAUAUUAUUGCUCAUACUGAAACUUACAAAGUCUUCUUUUGAUGAUUCAAGAAAUGAAAUUCCCCUCCCAAGACUUUUAAUCCUGUUUAUUUUUUAAUGACAUAGACCCAAGUCAUCUAGUAAGAUGAGAACGGUGUGUCGGAAAUGGUCGGGAUAGCUCAGCUGGUAGAGCAGAGGACUGAAAAUCCUCGUGUCACCAGUUCAAAUCUGGUUCCUGGCAUAUGAUUAAUAUCUAUGAGUAUCUAUCACUACAAAUUCAGUGAUAUGGCUCGCCAUACAUAUUCCAUUUAUAGAUCAUGAUACAUACAUACUUAUCCAUCUAGCUCGAUGUCUGGGAAUAGGCCUUUUUUCUUUUAUUUUUUUUUUAUUUUAUUUCUUCCUUCCCCUCUCUGUGACCCGCUAGAGCCCGUCGAAGUGGUGUGCGCGAUACAAAGUUCAUGAUACAGAACUCUUUAAUUUCUUUAUCCCAUUCACAAUAAUAAUACGAAUGAGACUUCAAUUCCUCCGUUUGAUCUAGAGAAAGAAACGUACAAAUAUUUCUUGAAUAUUGGGUCAAAAUGAAGAUUAAUUUCUUAGAAUUCAAUAAGCAUCUUGUAUUUCAUAAAAAUUGGGGGCAAUAUAAUCCUUACGUAAAGGGCCACCCUAUCCAACUUUCAGGCAUUAAGAUACGUUUCAGUCGUGGAUGAUUAAUCAUAAAGGAUUCCCAGCAUAUCAUAAGAUUCCCGUUCUUGAAAAUUCGCACUUUUCCAAACCCAGAAAACCGAUGGAAUUUUAGGAUUACUCCUUGGAGCAAAUACUUUUAUGCAUACCUCUUCUGGUUGAUCUACACCAUACUCUAUUCGCGUAAGAAUGAUACACACUGGCUAACAGUCCCGCCCGGUGCUACAUCAUAGGCACAUUGGGACCGUAGAUAAUUGUAAGCCAUAUAUAUACAAAAUGACAGCAACGGAGUGCCAAUCCUCGGGCUUUAUUUGUAAAGUUUCUAUUCCUUGGUAAUCAAAGCCCAAAGAUCUAUGAACUAGCCCAUGCUUGACCAGCCAAGCAGACAAACGACCCUGCAUCUUUUUUAUCUCUCCCACAUUUUGAUUUCGAUAAAUAUUUCACAUUUACGAUGAAUUUUUGGAAUUUAUGAAGAUUAAUUCGCUCUUUCUUAUUCUGUACAAAUGAAUCCUCCUGCCUAAUUAAUGAAUUCGGGGGAAGAUACUGAACUUUUGUAUUUGAAAAAGGUUUCAGGCGGGAUUUCUGACGUAGAUGGUGGUUGAUAAAGUAAUCCUUGAUCAUAAUUUCCAGUAUUAGUACUGCAUACAACACGAAACUUGUGAUUGGUAGUAAAAGUAAACGAGCGAUUCUCCCGUUGCAAUCGAAUUCGAUCUUCAUAGAUUUCUCGAGAUAUUUUCUUACGAAGUUUUUGUUAUGGCAUCUAUAACGGCCUCUGGUUUAGGCGGGCAACCCGGCAAAUAAACAUCCACGGGAAUUAGCUUAUCAACUCCUCGAACAGUACUAUACGAAUCGGUACUGAACAUCCCCCUGUAAUUGUACAUGCUCCCAUACAAUAACAUAUUUUGGUUCAGGCAUUUGUUCAUAUAAUCUCACUAAAGAAGGAGCCAUUUUCAUUGUUACUGUACCAGCUGUUAAAAUUAGGUCCGCCUGUCUAGGGCUCGAUCUUGGUACCAGCCCAUAACGGUCAAAAUCGAACCGCGAGCCGAUUAAUGAAGCAAAUUCAAUGAAACAACAACUGGUACCAUAAAGAAGCGGCCAUAAGCUGGAGAGUCUUGACCAAUUUGAAAGAUCGUUUGAUGUAGUUGAAAUAAAUGAAUUGGGUUGUCGAUCAAGUAAGGAAAAUUCAAUAGAAUUCAUAAUUCUCUCAAUGUUAUUUUUUGUUUUUUUUUUUUUUUUUACUUUUUUGUUAUUGUCUGAAUAUUCAGAAACUAAGACCACUCUAAUGCUCCUUUUCGCCACGCAUAAACUAAACCAACAAUUAGGAUAAGCAUGAAAAUGAAAGCUUCUAUAAAUACGGGUACCCCCAAUACAUCAAAACUCAUUGCCCAUGGAUAAAGAAAAAACGGUUUCAACACAUCAAAAACAACAAAAACUAGAGCAAACAUAUAAUACCGGAUUCGAAAUUGUAACCAAGCAUCGCCCAUUGGUUCGAUACCCGAUUCAUAACUAGAAAGUUCUCUGGCCCUUUGUUAAUCGGGGCUAAAACUGCGGAAAUUAGAAAUGCCAAAAUAGGAAUAACGCUUGAUAUUAUUAGAAAUGCCCAGAAAAUAUCAUAUUUGUAAAGCAGAAACAUAGCCAAACUCCUAUGAAUGUGGAAAAUAGACCAAAUUUGUCGAUGCAAAUUGGAAUUCAUUGUCAAGUCAUCGAUAAUUGGUUAAUCAAAACAACAAUUCAUUUUGAUCGAACCGCAAAGUUUCGUUUGUUUGUUGUGAUGUCUCGUUUUAAGAUUUAUCGAUUGGAAUCCUAUUUCAUUACACUUCCUUCGAUUUUAUUUCAAUAUAGUAUAAAUCUCUUAUACAAACAAAACAAACAAAACCCUUUUGCGUUCACCGCGCUUCGGACUUGUCUAAAUCAAAGGAAGUCAAAAGAAAAUUCGAAUUUUUGUUUCGAAUUUCGAAUUCGAAUCUUCGAAAUUCAAUCGAUUUUGAUUCUAUUCUCAAUAUAUAGAAUAUUUUCUGUUUCUGAAUUAUGUUUAUGAAAAGCUAUUCGUUUUUCAAACGCUGAGGUGUCAACAAAUACCGUAAUCCGUUCCUAUAUCCAUGCGAACUUACUAUUCCAUUUGAGUUGGGUUACGUCGGCGUCUCCCCGGAUUCGUGUCAUGAUUUUGACUCCGCAAAUUCACCAAAAGUAGGUGAGUAUACCAAAGAAAGGAAGUAUCAAUAACUCUUUGAUUGUGAUGGGAACAGGAAAAGAGGCAAAUCCAUAUGGAAUUCCCAUACGAAGAUUAUUAUUAUUAAUUAUUGAAGAAAGAAAAAUGGGUUUGUUUAGCCGAAUCCGAGAUUCUAAAAAAAAAAAUAGCGAUUAAAUCCAUUGAAAUGCGCUUUAGUUUUCAUUUCAGUUUGAUGUUCUGCUCGGAACGAGCUCCCUCCGAGCGAGCUUUUGGGAAUGAUUUGAUUUCGAUGAACCACAAGCAACCCCCAGCGACCAGUUACAAACAACAAAAAUACAAUAUGAAUGAGAAAUGAAAACUAUACAAUUUUGUGUUUCUGUAUUUCCAUUUUGAUUAUUAUUAUUUGAGAUUAGUAUAGGGCUAUAACGGACUCGAACCGUAGACCUUCUCGGUAAAACAGAUCGAACUAAUUCUUAUCAAAAUGAUUCGAACUCUUUCAAAGACCCAACAUGCAUUUUUUUUUUUUUGCAUUGGGCUCUUUCAUUAACUGAUAGAAAUAUCAGUUAGUCUACCAUAUUUUUUUCUUGACAGACAACUAAGGAAAUGGCUCCAUGUGCUCUAAUUCAUUAUUUGGAUUCGGAUAUAGGAGCACUCCCAAAGUGUUUCAAAGAAGGGUUAUCUUGACGUAGGUCUGCUUAUGGCCUAGAUCAACCUAAACGAAAUGGAGUCUCUAUCAUCCUGAUUAAAGAAUCACAUAUGAAACUUCAUACGCCUUAAGGUUUCAUAGAACGAAAAGAGAAUUUUUGAGGUCCUUAUACUCAUUAUGCCUAGCAUUGAAUAGACUAGGUAUUUACCUUAUCAAUCUCUCAAAUCGAUGAUGGAUUCUAUUUGGUUCCUAAAAGGCACCCGAAUCGGACCGAUCCAUUGUCAGGCUAUUGUUCUCUUGUUUGUUCCCUACAAGCCACGGAGUCAGACAUUAAUUUCUCAAAAAAGAUCAAUUCUUUUGAUUGCAUGAUGGACUCCUCUGAAAAACAUUGGCGCACGUGUAAACGAGGUGCUCUACCUAACUGAGCUAUAGCCCUUGUCCUUGUGAUACAUAUUUUAUCAUAUUAUGUAGAUAAUUUCUUGUCAAGAUGAAUAUUCCAUGAUCCCACACCAUAUCUCUUUGAUCUUUUGGAUUGGUAUUGCUUAGAAGUCCUAUUAGAUUUAUACUCCAUCGAUGGGAUGUGAUGGGUCUCUUUUUGUUUUUUGUUAUAAUGAUAAAUGACCUACUUAACUCAGUGGUUAGAGUAUUGCUUUCAUACGGCGGGAGUCAUUGGUUCAAAUCCAAUAGUAGGUAGAAAUUAUUAGAUACCACGGCCAAUGGUAUCUAAUAAGUUUUUUCUACUCACCUUUGUUUAUUGAUUUUGUAUCUUUCUAUCCGAUUCAAUUUGAUUUUCGAAUUGAAACCUUUUCCUUCCGUCAGAAUCCAAUUCCACUUGAUUGAAUUUAAUUGGAUUCAAUUGGCAGAAUCAAAAUAGGGGUAUAAACAGAAAUUCGUUGGAUUAUUCUAUUCGGGCGCACCAACUAGUUAUGAAAUCGCAUUGAUAACCUCUACUCGUGUCCUAGCUCGUCUGAGAGCUAGAUUUGCCUCAAUUGUUUGUCUCUUGCUUUCAGCUUCCUCAAAUUAGCUUCUGCUAUUUCAAGAGUUUGCUGGGCUUCUUGGGGAUCAAUGUCACUACUCUUCUCCGCAUCAUUUACUAAAAUAGUGAUCUCAUUAUUCCCUAUUCUAGCAAAACCACCCAUCAGAGCCAUCGUUAACCAUUGGUCGUUAAAGCGGAUUCUUAAAAUACCUAUAUCUACAGCUGUGGCAAUAGGCGCGUGAUUUGGUAAUACGCCGAUUUGUCCACUAUUAGUAGAUAAAAUGAUUUCUUUCACUUCUGAAUCCCAAACAAUUCGAUUAGGGGUCAGUACACAAAGAUUUAAGGUCAUUUCUUCAAAUUACUCUCCAUUUCUAAGUUUGUAGCCUUCGCAGUAACUUCAUCUAUGUUACCUACCAAAUAAAAGGCCUGCUCAGGAAGACCAUCUAAUUCUCCGGACAGGAUCAAUUUAAACCCUCUAAUAGUUUCGGCUAGACCAACAUAUUUCCCCGGGGAACCGGUAAAUACUUCGGCUACGAAAAAGGGUUGUGAUAAGAAACGCUCAAUUUUCGCGCCCUUGCUACAGUUAAAACGAUCCUCUUCGGACAGUUCGUCCAACCCAAGGAUAGCUAAUAAUGUCCUGAAGUUCUUUGUAACGUUGUAAAGUUUGCUUAACUCUUUGCGCCGUUUCAUAAUGUUCCUCGCCAACGAUCCGAGGUUGCAGCAUAGUUGACGUUGAGUCUAAAGGAUCAACUGCUGAUAGAUACCUUUAGCAGCUAAUCCUCUUGAUAGUACGGUAGUAGCAUCUAAAUGGGCAAAUGUCGUGGCAGGAGCGGGAUCAGUCAAAUCAUCCGCGGGUACAUAAACUGCUUGAAUAGAAGUUAUGGACCCCUCUUUGGUAGAAGUAAUUCUUUCUUGUAAAGAACCCAUUUCGGUACUAAGGGUAGGUUGAUAACCCACAGCGGAAGGCAUUCUACCCAAUAAGGCGGAUACCUCGGAUCCCGCUUGGACGAAACGGAAGAUAUUGUCGAUAAAUAGAAGUACGUCUUGUUCAUUAACAUCUCGGAAAUAUUCCGCCAUAGUUAGGGCCGUCAAACCAACUCUCAUACGAGCUCCUGGUGGUUCAUUCAUCUGACCGUAGACUAGAGCCACUUUGAUUCCGAAAGAUUUUGGUCAUUAAUUACUCCAGACUCUUUCAUUUCCAUGUAAAGAUCAUUUCCUUCACGAGUACGUCACCGACUCCGCCAAAUACGGAUACACCCCCAUGGCUUGGCAAUGUGUUGAUCAAUUCCAUAAUGAGUACUGUUUUACCCACCCCAGCUCCCCCAAAUAGUCCGAUUUUUCCUCCCCGACGAUAAGGAGCUAAAAGAUCUACUACUUUAAUUCCUGUUCAAAAAUAGAUAAUCUUGUAUCUAACUGUAUAAAAGCAGGCGCGGAUUUAUGAAUAGGGAUGUUGUGCGAGUAUCUACAGGACCUAAAUUAUCAACGGGCUCUCCAAGCACGUUGAAAAUUCGUCCUAGAAGUCACUCCGCCGACUGGAACACUUAGAGGAGCUCCCGUGUCAAUUACUUCCAUACCCCUCGUUAGACCAUCUGUAGCACUCAUGGCUACAGCUCUAACUCGAUUAUUCCCUAAUAAUUGCUGUACCUCGCAAGUCACAUAAUUGGUUGAUCGACAGUAUCUCGACCCUUAACUACCAGAGCAUUGUAAAUAUUAGGCAUCUUGCCGGGGGAAAGGCUACAUCCAGUACCGGACCAAUGAUUUGAGCGAUAUGUCCUAGGUUUUUGUUUGCAAACGCGGAAACCCCAGGACCGGAAGUAGUAGGAUUUAUUCUCAUAAUAAUAAAGUGAAAGAUGUCAAUUUUUUUUUUUUCGAACUUGAUCGCAUCCAAAAAAAUCUUCGAUAGCACGUGGAUCGGUUAAUUCAAUAAGAAAUGGGAGUUCGCGCUCGAUUUCGUUGGUACCGUCCAACCGAAUGCAAUUCAAUAGUUUCCUUAUGCUUAUGCAUUUAUGCAAUUUCAAUGAGGGAAUUUUCAAGUUCAACCAACCGACUUUCAAAAUAUCAAGUGGGUGAAUAAAAAUCUUGAGAAAGUCGUUCAUUAUAUCUAUCAUUAUAGACAAUACCCGCCAUAUUAUCUAUGGAGUUCGAACCUGAACUCUCUUUUCGAUUCAUUAUUUCUAUCUCAUUGGACCUUAUUUCUUAUUUUAGCAUAUCGACUUAUGCCUAGUCUAUUCUUUUUUUGGAUAUAUAUACCCUGCUUUUUGAUAUAUAUACCCUGCCUUUCUUUACUGGAUGAAUUACGCAUAUUUUCUUUGCACAUAUAGGAUUUACGUAUACAACACAUAUUACUGUCAAGAGUCAAUUUCUUAUGAUUUAGAAAUUUCGAUUGAAAAAAGGUAAGGGAUUAGAAACUUGAAAGGCGCCGAUUGGGUUGCGCCAUACAUAUGAAAGAGUAUACAAUAAUGAUGUAUUUGGUGAAUCAAAUACCAUGGUCUAAAAAAAACAAGGAAACGCUCUGAGUAGGUGAUAAUAUUAAUUGAAAAGCUUGUGAAAGAUUCCUGUGAAGGGGUUUCAUUAACUCCUAAUUUAUGUCGAGUAGACCUUGUUCUUGCGAGAAUUCUUAAUUCAUGAGUUGUAGGAGGGACUUAUGUCACCACAAACAGAGACUAAAGCGAGUGUUGGAUCAAGGCCGGUGUUAAAGAUUAUAAAUUGACUUAUUAUACUCCUGACUAUGUAACCAAAGAUACUGAUAUCUUGCAGCAUUCCGAGUAACUCCUCAGCCCGGAGUUCCACCCGAGGAAGCGGGGGCUGCGGUAGCUGCGGAAUCUCUACUGGUACCUGGACAGCUGUGUGGACCGAUGGGCUUACCAGCCUUGAUCGUUACAAAGGGCGAUGCUACAACAUUGAGCCCCGUUGCUGGAGAAGAGAAUCAACUAUAUAUGUUAUGUAGCUUACCCGUUAGACCUUUUUUGAAGAAGGUUCUGUUACUAACAUGUUUACUUCCAUUGUGGGUAAUGUAUUUGGUUUCAAAAGCACUGCGCGCUCUACGUCUAGAGGAUCUACGAAUCCCUCCUGCGUAUACUAAAACUUUCCAAGGCCCGCCUCACGGCAUCCAAGUUGAGAGAGAUAAAUUGAACAAGUAUGGCCGUCCCCUGUUGGGAUGUACUAUUAAACCUAAACUGGGGUUAUCCGCGAAGAAUUAUGGUAGGGCGGUUUAUGAAUGUCUACGUGGUGGACUUGACUUUACCAAAGAUGAUGAGAACGUGAACUCCCAACCAUUUAUGCGUUGGAGGGACCGUUUCUUAUUUUGUGCGGAAGCUCUUUAUAAAGCGCAAGCUGAAACAGGUGAAAUCAAAGGUCAUUACUUGAAUGCUACUGCAGGGACAUGCGAAGAAAUGCUAAAAAGGGCUGUCUUUGCCAGAGAGUUGGGAGUUCCUAUCGUAAUGCAUGACUACUUAACAGGGGGAUUCACCGCAAAUACUACCUUGGCUCAUUAUUGCCGAGAUAAUGGUCUACUUCUUCACAUCCACCGUGCAAUGCAUGCAGUUAUUGAUAGACAGAAGAAUCAUGGUAUGCACUUUCGUGUACUAGCUAAAGCUUUGCGUCUGUCUGGUGGAGAUCAUAUUCACGCCGGUACAGUAGUAGGUAAACUUGAGGGGGAAAGAGACAUAACCUUGGGAUUUGUUGAUUUACUACGUGAUGAUUUUGUUGAAAAAGAUCGAAGCCGCGGUAUUUAUUUCACUCAAGAUUGGGUCUCUAUACCAGGUGUUAUACCUGUGGCUUCCGGGGUAUUCACGUUUGGCAUAUGCCUGCGUUGACAGAGAUCUUUGGAGAUGAUUCCGUAUUNNNNNUUAAUUAAUUAANNNNNAUUUAGGGAAUGUCAUGUCCCAACAAUUACCACCACCAUUAUAAAAACUUUAUAAGUAUUACUUAUCACUUCCCAAUAAUAUUUACUUUUCAGUAGCAAUUGAUCAUGUGGGCCAAAUUAAAUAUAUUGGCCCUAAAAUUCAGAAUCUAUUUAUAUCCAACAUUAACACCAGCCUUGGCACUCUCAACUGAGCAAAACCUAAAGCCUCUUCUUAAUCAAUCUUUUCAAAAAUUUCAUCGAAACCAUUCUAGAUACCCCUAGGAUAUUGAACGCAUGGUCAAAGGUGUUUUGAUACAUGUGGUUCAGGCAAGACCACAAAUGUAGAACAUUAAGUAAUAAUAUGCAUGCAUAUAUGUACAUUCUAUAGAUAAAAUAAGACCAAGCACUUGCAUAGACUUUAACAAUAUUGUCAAUGUAUAGAAUUGGGCUCCUCAACAAAAUGUAUCUAGAUUUAAGAGAAAUAAAAUCCAUAGUUAAAUUUUAAAAAUAUAUAUAUAGCUUCAAGAAAUUUAAAAUGAAAAUCAAUAAAAAUUAACUAUUAAAACCAGUAAAUUAGUUAACAUAGCAAUCUAAUAUCUAAUUCAUGAAAUAGAAAUAAAAACAUGAAAAAUACAGCAACGACUUACCAAAGAGUGUGAAGCUUCAAUUGAAAGUGAGGAUAGGGUUUUAAUUAGUGUUGGCAACAUUCCCGCACUAAUUUUGUAUAUUAUUUCAUUAUGUAAUUGGAUAUAUUUGUUAAGCAUAUUAAUAGUUGUCUCAAUUCAUGGUUAGAAAUUUCCUUUGCAUUAAUUUUUUGGAUUUGUAACAAGAGUUUUCACUAUGUUUCUCUCUUGGUUGUUAUAUUUCACUGCUCUUAGAUUCCUUUUAAGCCAUUACUGGUGCAAGAGUUAUUUAAAUAUAAAUUUUGUUAUAAAAAAAUUCAAAGAACUUAUGAAUACAAAGAAAAGGUUGGAUAUACGAGGGUUUCUUUUGAAUAUUUUCAUGGGACACCCUGAGGUUUCAUUGUUUCAUGUUUUCUAGCAAAUUUCAACAGUUUUUACAUUUAAGUCCAGAAGAAUGUAAUAUGUUUCUGGAGGUGGUGCGAAGAAAUUAUGUGAGUUAGGAUUUUGGGUUUAUAUCCCAAUGGCACCCUAUAGUUUCACAGUUUACGAUUUAGCUAAAGUAUCUAGGUUUUGGGAAAAAAAGUUCAAAUUUAUUUAUAUUGGAUCCAAGUCUAGUUUUCGUUAUCAAUUGAAUAAUAUGAAUUAAUUACUCCAAAUUUAUUUAUAUUACUCACAAGCCUAUUUUUGAGAUUUCAAAAUUGGGUCAUCUAAAUGAAAGAUUUUGUAAGAUCAAUAAUAAAAUUUAUUUGUCUUAAGAUUUUUUAAAAAUAAAUUUUGGCUUAUUUUAUUAAAUUAAUUGGGUCUUGAUAUUAUAAAAAAUUUAUUUUAAAAAUAAGAUGCAAUGGAAUUUUAAUUAAAAGGUGCGCAAAUUUGGUCUUAAAAAAUUGAAUCAAGGAUAAAUUAAAAAAGCCAAAGUGGACUUGAACAAGACCAUGUACAAGGAAGAGAAAGAAGUUGGACAUUGACUUGAAGCCCACAAGAUAAUAGGCUUGUAGAUUAAGUCAAUUUUUUCUUAGGAAAACCAUAAAUUGAUAUUGUUUAAUUGCUUUUAGUCUAUAUGAUAUGUUUGGAUGAUAACAUCUCAUGACAACAUGUCAUAUAGAAUAGUAGUGCCACUCUAUGCAUCAUAAUAUAUGACAUCUAUAGAUUAUGAAUCUAAAUAUAUAUAUUGUUGAUAUUAUUGUUUGUAUUUACAUGUGCUAAGAAUAUAAGAUUUCAUCUAGAUAAUAUUAUUUUAGGAAGCAUGCAAUUAACAAUAUUGGAUAUAAUCUGUUUAUUGUCCAAAAAAAAACCAACUUUAAAUAUUGAGUUUGAGAGGGAAAAUUCAAGAUAAUUUUUCCCGUGGGCUCCAUUGUGAUGCACUCAAAAAGCACAUAACUUAAAACCUUGCCUUAAAAAUUAUCUUUUUUUUUUAUAGUAUAGAGGUGUAAGCAAGGGUCAUUCCCACAGAGGAUUGUGGCCAACAACAAAGAUUAAAUUAAAAACCCUAUCUUCACUUAAAGAAAUUGACUCAAAAUUUCCAGAUAAAUAAGUACAAACUAAUGAAGUCACAAAUAAAUUUGGGGGGAUUUGGAGUUGAUUUACUAUGAAUAAGGCACAAAAUCUGAAUUUUAUAGAAAGCAGCUUCAAGAGAAUUUAAAUUUGAUAAGAAAUAUGGUUAAGGAAUCAUUCUCCACCACUAAACAUUAGACUUAGUCAAUCAUCAGAAUUAUAAUUCACUUUCUUUUAAAAACAACAACCCUAAAUAAUUACAAGCUCAAUUAUCUUGAUCUUUUUUAAUAUCCAUCAAAUAACCUAGAACAAGCUCUCUAGAUUUAAUUUAAUGAAAGCAUUAGAAUCAAGAAAGAUAUAGGCUGAAUCAAGAGACAAACACUGAUGAGAACCAUCAAGGGAAUACCAUUAAAACUUCAAGUGAUCCUUUGCACAUUCAUGGAGGCCCAAUUACAAGAGCAAGAGCCAAAAAGAUGCAAGCUGCUUUAAAUGGAUUAAUUGAGAAAAUAUGGAUUGAAAAUGCAAUUCAAGAUGCAAGACAUCAUGAAUUGGGCUUGAAGAGAAGACAAGGCAUUGUGGGCAUUAUUCAAGUUAUUGGGCAGCCAAAUACACAAUUUGUAUCAAAUGUAGAAAGGUCAAAUUUGGAAUAAAAACUGUAUUGAUUGAGCUAGAAGUAAUGUGCAAGCUAUAUACCGUUGGAAAGAUAAUUAAGCUAGCUUUCCAAUAAAUUUUACAGAGCUGGAUUUGGAGUUCUCUAGAAGGAGUUAUGACCAAUUCAUUACAUCUUGUUCAGACUUGGGAUUUUCAACGACUCCUUUGUUUUUCAACUUCAUUUGUUUGUUUUGUUUCAAGUUUGUCAAUGUGUAAAGUAAGUCUACCAUCAAUGAUGGUGGGCUAACAUUAAGUUUGUCAAUGAUAGCAUUAAUUAUAGUAGGCUAGCAUUAAGUUUGUCAAAGAUCGCAUUAAUUAUGGUGGGUUGGUGAAGACUUUUGAAACAUCCUUUGACAAACCUACUUGGAGGGUUGUUCCAAUGUUUCCAUUUGUAUUUUUAGGAUCUUGGGUUUCUUUUAGCCUAUUUAAAUUCAACAACCUUGCUAUGUAUAAUAUUAGAGAUUAAUGUUAUUUGAAUUUGAAAGAUUAUUCUUUCUUUGGUUCUUUUGAGAACUAGUGAACUUAAUCAAGAAUUUGCAUUCUUGUGGCGUUCUAAAUUUAGACUUAUCACUCACCUUCUCAUCUAUUUCUUGAGUGUGGUGUCAAUAUCAUUCUCUAUACCUUUAGUUCAUGUUUUCUUAAGCAUUGGGUCAAGGUUUUGUUUGUCAUAAAUCUGUUUAGAACUUUCUUAAGAAGUUGAAACUACAAAUUAAGUGUGGGUUUCAAAGUUUCAUUGUGGGAUUCACAUCAUUGGUAUCAGAGCUAGUUUCUAAUCAAGUUUGAAUGUCUUAUUUAUUUGAUUAUCAAAAAAAAAAAAAGAGAAAAACGUACAAAAAAAAAAGAUUACAAAAGGAUUCAAGUAUUUCUACUUUCAUCAAAAUUGAUUUUUAGUUAUUCAUUUUUCCUUGGCAUAGUUUUCACACAUAUCAAUUGUGUUGCCUUGCUUGCUUGCUUUCCUUUUCACUCUUAAUUUCUUUCUUUGUUAGUGUGUUGGAUUGUCAUAUUUUGGUGUGCCACUUGGGUUUUUUUUUUCUUGAUUUUGUUUUAUUUAGUUCAAUAAAGAACUGAAAGAGAGAAUUAAGUGUGGUAAAAGGCAAAAGUUUGUGAGAUCACAAAUAUGUCAAAAGAUCAAGAAGCUAUAGACCGAUCAAUCAUCCUCAAAGCCAUGCAACAACAAUUUGAGCACAUGAAUCUGAUGUUUGGAGAGAUCCGUGACAAAUUGGGGAGGCAAGACACUGCCAUAGCCAAUCUACAAAGGGGGCCAAUAGCUCCUAAUGUAAGAGGUAAUCAAGGGCGUGCUGUUCAUGGGAGAAGAAGAUGGUGAUGACAUAGAUGAUUUUGAUGACCAGGCGACUGUUGACAUGCGUGGAAGAGAUAAUAGAAGGCAAGACGUAUAGAUCAUGAUUUCGGGAGUAUCAAACUGAAAAUUCCUUCUUUUCAAGGUAAAAAUGAUCUGGAAGCUUAUUUGGAAUGGGAAAAAAAGGUGGAGCUAGUAUUUGAUUGCCACAACUACUCUGAGGAGAAAAAGGUAAAACUAGUUGCUGUUGAAUUUAUUGAUUAUGCUAUCAACUUCCUCCAACAAUGCUUCUACGUCUUCUAUCAUAACUCCAGUUUCCCUUUCCUCCACCCUCUCCUUACCCAAAUCUUGCUCCAAACACACUGCUAGUAAGAUCGAAAAUUUAGUUGAAUAUUCUUGUAUCCCUGAAUCUGCUCAGAUCACUGAAUCUUCUUUUCCUCUUCUUAGUCCUUAUCACCUCUAUAAACGAUCACACUCCUUUACUCGCAGUAUUCGAACCCUUAUUUCCACCAAAAGACCACAUCCAAAAAGAAUACAUCCAGUCAUCCAGAUUGGAUCAGUGUUCCCUUCAGGCUACCACAGCUGAACAAUAUGUCACUUUGGAAAUUCCCCCCAGACUUGAUUUCCAAUUGGCAAAGAGAAAGUUAUACUCAUCUCCAUAUCGGAGGAGUCCGACUAAUCCUAACCUUACAUGGAAGGAAAGGAUACCAGUCAUGCCCAGAAUUGCUAUGCUGGACACUAGGUUCACACAUUACCAAGAUGUUGUUAUUGGUAACUUGUCUUAACCACUCUUCAAUGCUGGAAGUGUUUUUACUCACUUUCUAUCCUAAUUUCAACCUUUCUCUUCAAGACACUAAUCUCUCCAUAGCCUUGCAAGUCCAAGUGCAAAAUCAAGGUGCAGACCAAGUCUCUUCUGCAAAAAUUGCCACUCUUCACCAUCAAUUGGUCUAUAGGCUCCAGAACCAUGCCUUAGAUCUUCCUUCGCUUGAGCACCACUCUGACGCCCUCAUGGUGUUAGCAGAAUCAGGCCAAAUCCCAACCAUCAUUCAAAUUCCAAGACAGAUCCUCAACAUGAACUCAUAAAACUCAUGCCUUGGAAUGGAUUUCAAAUUAUGAGAAGUUCCACGCCAAUUACUUCUCCUAUCCAGACCACAUAAAGUAUGUUUGAAAAGAAGAUCUGAUAGAACUGUCCGAAUGACUUUUCGGCCUCCACCAAUAGCACUAGAGGAGCCUCCACGACUCUCAUUCACUUAUUCAGCCAUGGUAACGGCUGUCCAGACCGCUCAAGAAAAGUUGCCAAUUACAGGAUUCACUUUAAAAGGAUAUCUUGUCUAUCCUGCCAAACUUAAUGGCCAACUUUCUUUGGGAUUCACUAGGAUCAGGAAAUUGUGACCCAGAUUGUCCCUGUUGGGAUGAUUGGGAAGAAGAUGAUGUUGGCUUUACAGCCGGAAAAGGAAACCAAAAAAGAAAAUACCUAAAACUCCGUGCUCACACAACCAACCUAAACCACCUCAUAAUCCUCCACCACCACCAGCUCCAUUACCCAUCUACCAAAAAUAACUGAGAUGGAUUGCCAAAAAUUGCAAAACUGAAAUCCUUCCCAUCCUCAGCCGUCCACAUUACCCAUGCAGCCUAUGGCUUUGUAUGAUGUUCUCAUCCACCUCACAAGAUUAUUCCUCCAAUUUCCCUGCCCUCGAAACCCAUACCGAUCUACAAUGAAAGGUCAUCACUAAACCCUUUAUUCCUUCCGCCAUCACUCCUACAGGUCAUUUAGAAGACCCUAAACCUUUCGAAGCCGUUCUCAACUGGCAAACACAAAAUGCCAGAGCUCAAAAUGAAGCCUUAGUUGAUAUCCAUAAGAAGGUUAAUCAUAUUAGUUUUACAAACUGAUCAUAUUGAAUCUAAGAUGGAUUUGAUUACUUCUCAGAUGCAGCAGAUUUACCAGAAUCUUCAGUCCCAAAUCUCCCAACUAGAUUCGAAAUUAAGAACCAUGCUGAGUCAUAGCUACAAUGGUCCAGAAUUUGAUCAAAAGGAAAAGGAAAUCCGAAAGCUGAGAGCAGAACUCGAACAGAUUGAGUUGGACAGGCAAAGGCCAACAUUAUUUACUACCUCUCCACUAUUACCCACUAUUAGCCCCACCUUCCAUCCUUUUGCACCUAUGCUUUCUCCAAUCAAGCCCCAAGACCCAUCCAAAAUUAUUUGGCAUGACCCAUACUUUGUUCAGAAAAACAUCCUCUGCCGAACACAUCUAGAUCUACAUCUCAUCCUCGUCCACGACCCGAUAAACAGCCCUUCCAUCCACCUUUGUCUAUCACAGAACCACAACCAACCUAUAUAUACCCAACUCCCUCCUCAACCAACACCAACUCAGGCCAAAGAUAAAUCACCAAAUGCACCAAUAUAGUGCACAGAUAAUCCCAGACCCAUCUGAUACAGACCAAACUUCUGAUUCAAAUCUCACCGUUCAGUCAAUCAAUCUGAAUCCGACACAGACUCUUCCCUUGAAUCUUCCAUCUCAUCUAGUGAUUCUGAAAAAUCCUAUGCUAAUAUCACUAGGAUUCUUAUGGCCCAACCUGAAGAAACUGAGCCUGCUCAAUCCUCAAGAACUGACCCAUUUUUUGAAAUACCCUCAGAUAUUGAGGAAGAUCCACCCGAAGCAUCCUCCGCUCCAAACCGACCAGCUUAAUCCCACCAUGAUCAUAAACCUUCAAAUGGUCCAUGGUUCACUUUUGAUGAUAUCCCCUGCAGCUAAAUGGAGAGAUAGAUUAUCUGAAAUGGCUGCUUGGACAGAUCUCCAAAUGUUAAGAGCAAAUGCUACUACAACAUCCGUCCUUAGAGAACUUGCUACCCGUUUUUUACAGGCUCUUUAAGAGAUUGGUUUGAUACUUAAGAGAGUACAAACAAUUACAGUUUGUGCAACUACCUAAUGUCUCAUUUGCUCUUUCUGUUACUCACGAGCAAUUCAUUGGAGAAUCAACCGCAGCCUUUUGAAGCUGCAAGACGCGACUACCUCAAUAUGAAGUGCUGCUCCCUCAACUCUAAAGAUCUUGAUUUCCAUUAUAAACAGAUGUCAAAUCCUAUUUUAUAAGCUCAAUGGGUUCAAUGAUCCGACUCUCAAACAUGUCUUUCUAGCAUCAUUACCCGAAGGAUUGCAACCAGACAUACAACGGCAACUCACGAGUCUCAAUCUCACCAUUGAUACCAUUUCCUUAGGAAAGAUCUUUCAGAUCGCCAAAGGAUGUUUGGAAAAACUACCUCAAUAUGAAGUGCAAACUACCUAAUGUCUCAUUUGCUCUUUCUGUUACUCACGAGCAAUUCAUUGGAGAAUCAACCGCCAGCCUUUGAAGCUGCAAGACGCGACUACCUCAAUAUGAAGUGCUGCUCCCUCAACUCUAAAGAUCUUGAUUUCCAUUACAAACAGAUGUCAAUCCUAUUUUAUAAGCUCAAUGGGUUCAAUGAUCCGACUCUCAAACAUGUCUUUCCUAGCAUCAUUACCCGAAGGAUUGCAACCAGACAUACAACGGCAACUCACGAGUCUCAAUCUCACCAUUGAUACCAUUUCCUUAGGAAAGAUCUUUCAGAUCGCCAAAGGAUGUUUUGGAAAAACUAUGUGAACAAAAACAGUUCUUCAAAGAAUUGUUAAAAGACAAAGAGCCUUUCCGAAGUGCAUGUAAAAAGCCUUAUUUGCAGAUCAAAAUGUCAGAAAAAGAAAGAUUGUGAUUGCAGCACCAAAAAGAAGAAGCAUUUAUGAAAAUUCAAAAAUCCAGCAUUGUUUCCCUAGAUCAACAUCCAGGCGAAAAUCAUACCGAUUUUUCAGGAAAAGAUCUAGCUCUUUCAGAGAACAACAAAAGAAGAAGUCAAGCCGAUGCUUCAUUUGCAAAAAGAAAGGCCAUUAUGCCAAAGAUUGCCCCAAACAAAAAAGACAAAGCAAUCAGACUUCUUGAGCAUUUAUAGGCCACUACUGAUUAUUCUCCUCACAAUGAUGAAAUUGAGUCUUACUUCUCAGAACAAGAGGAGCCUACUGAUGAAACAGUGUUUACACUACAAAACUCUUCCGAUGAUUCUGAAAAUGAUGAGUUUCAAACUAUUUCCACCAACAACUAUUGUCCCUUGACACUACCACCCCUAUCCCUUCCAUUAAACUCCACAUUUUACCCUCCAAAUUCCAGAGACUGAUUCCUACCAUUGGUCUUCUUUGAUACAGGGGGCCCAACAAAGUAUGUUAAAUCCCGACAUACUUCCAUCUCAGUCUUGGCAACAUUAUGAAGAAAAUUUCAAAGCAAUCAAAUGGAAAACUCUUCACCACCACCUUGAUUACCAGAAAACCCAUUGGUAUUCAAAUCUUUCCAAAUUGUGUUAUCUGGACGAAAGUCAUUGGUUCCCAUCUGCCUAAUAAGGAUAUCUUGUUAGGUUUUGAUAUCAUUCACCAGAUAAAACACUUCAAAUCAUUCCUACUGGAAUCUGAGUUAAGUCCAUG